rnacentral:rRNA from 1 species
GAUGAACGCUAGCGGUGUGCCUAAUACAUGCAAGUCGAGCGAACAGACGAGGAGCUUACUCCUCUGACGUUAGCGGCGGACGGGUGAGUAACACGUGGAUAACCUACCUAUAAGACUGGGAUAACUUCGGGAAACCGGAGCUAAUACCGGAUAACAUGUUGAACCGCAUGGUUCAACAGUGAAAGACGGUCUUGCUGUCACUUAUAGAUGGAUCCGCGUCGCAUUAGCUAGUUGGUAAGGUAACGGCUUACCAAGGCAACGAUGCGUAGCCGACCUGAGAGGGUGAUCGGCCACACUGGAACUGAGACACGGUCCAGACUCCUACGGGAGGCAGCAGUAGGGAAUCUUCCGCAAUGGGCGAAAGCCUGACGGAGCAACGCCGCGUGAGUGAAGAAGGUCUUCGGAUCGUAAAACUCUGUUAUUAGGGAAGAACAAAUGUGUAAGUAACUAUGCACGUCUUGACGGUACCUAAUCAGAAAGCCACGGCUGACUACGU